ensembl:lncRNA
CAGGUCUCUCCUGCUGGGCUCUUCGCUCAGAACAAUGGCCAGUGGAACUGAAUGAGCAAUGCUGAUCAUUUUGACCAAAAACAUCAGAUUGGAAAGAAGAACUGGAAUCGGAAGUGAGGUCAAUGAGUGUAACCGCCGGAAGUCAUUUCGUAAGAUUUCAUCAAAAGCCUGAUCUCGUGCAAGAGCUGCUGCAUCAGCCGUCCUCCUCCAGACUUUGAGCUGCUUUAAAUGACUUUAUCACCACAGCAACUGUGUUUCCAAACACACACACAUUCUGGAGGAGGUAAAUGUGGCCACACUGGGCCAAACAUCUACCUGACUGCGCACUUUCACACACUAACAUUACACCUGGUAUUUGUCAUCGUAAACUUGCGAAAUGCCAGUUGACCUGUGAAAUGAUAGUGCUGAGAAAAUUCAUGGAAAAAGCCACGGAUACUUGAAAGAGAUGAAUCAUGUGCCAGCUGGACUAAAUAUUUGGACGUUACUAUUGCAGCUAUCGGUAUUAAAUAUCUACUUAUGUCAGGCCAAAACUUAGCCAACAAAAAAUACAUUUUGCUAACAUUCGA